UACGGAGGGUGCAAGCGUUGUCCGGAUUUAUUGAGUUUAAAGGGUGCGUAGGCGGGUAAUUUAGUCAGUGGUGAAAGCCCACAGCUCAACUGUGGAACUGCCAUUGAUACUGGUUAUCUUGAGUAUAGAUGAGGCAGGCGGAAUUUACGAUGUAGCGGUGAAAUGCAUAGAUAUCGUAAAGAACACCUAUAGCGAAGGCAGCUUGCUAAACUAUAACUGACGCUGAGGCACGAAAGCGUGGGGAGCAAACAGG
rnacentral:misc_RNA from 1 species